rnacentral:lncRNA from 1 species
GCUUUUUUUGGGGUUUUUUUGGUGAUUUUUGGGGUUUUUUUUGGUGUUUUUUUAGGGUUUUUAUGAGCUUUUUUUGGGGUUUUUUGGUGAUUCUUGAAUUCCUUUUUGGGGGGUUGGGCUUUUUUUAGUGGUUUUUGGUUUUUUUUGGUGAUUUUUGGGGUUUUUUUGGUGUUUUUUUAGGGUUUUUAUGAGCUUUUUUUGGGUUUUUUUGGGGGGGGUUUUGCGGCUUUUAUUCCGGGUUUUGGGGGUUUUUUUGUUUGUUUUUUUAGGUUUUUUUUGAGCUUUUUUUGGCGUUUUUAGUGAUUUUGGGAGUUUUGUGGUCGUUUUUUGGGCUUUUUUUAGUGGUUUCUGGGUCUUUUCUUUGGGCUGUUUUGGUGGGUUUUAGGGUUUUUUUGAGCUUUUUUUGGGUUUUGGUGAUUUUUGGGUUUUUUUUGGGGUAUUUUUGGCGGGUUUUUGGGUUUUUGUGGGGCUACUUUUGGUACCUUUUGGGAUUUUUUGAAGGUUUUUUUUUGAGAUUUUUCUGUGGUUUUUGGGGAUUUAUUGGGGUUUUUUGGGGGUUUUUUUGGGGGGUUUUCUUGGGCUUUUUUUGUUGAUUUGGGGGGAUUUUUUUGAGCAUGUUGGAGUUUUUUUAGUUAUUUUUGGGGGGGUUAUUUUGGACUUUUUUGGGGGAUUUUUGGUGGUUUUUGAGCUUUUUUAGGGCUUUUUUUGGUGGCUCUUUUGGGGCUUUUUUUGGUGUUUUUUUGGUGAUUUUUGGUGUUUUUUUGAUGAUCUUUGGGUUUUUUUGAGCUUUUUUUAAUGGUCUUUUUGGGCCUUUUUUGGUGGUUUUUGGGUCAUUUUGUGCUGGAGGCGGGGGAUGUUUUUGGGGUAUUUCUGGAUAUUUUUGGGAUAAUUUUGGGGUAUUUUUGGGAUAUUUUGGGGUAUUUUUGGGAUAUUUUUGGGUAUUUUUGGGAUAUUUUUGGGUUAUUUUUGGAUAUUUUGGGACAUUUUGGGUGUCACAGCAUUUGCAGCCGGGCUGGGCGGAAUCAGGGAGCUGGAGGUGGGGGAUGUUUUUGGGAUAUUUUGGGAUAUUUUGGGAUAUUUUGGGAUAAUUUUGGGAUAUUUUUGGGAUAUUUUUGGGAUAUUUUGGGAUAUUUUUUGGAUAUUUUGGGAUAUUUUGGGGGUCACUCACAGCGUUGGCAGCCGGGCUGGGCGGGAUCGGGGAGCUGGACGUGGUGGAUGUUUCUGGGAUAUUUUAGGGAUAUUUUGGGAUAUUUUUGGGAUAAUUUUGGGAUAUUUUGGGGAUAUUUUGGGAUAAUUUUUGGAUAAUUUUGGGAUAUUUUGGGGGUCACUCACAGCAUUUGCAGCCGGGCUGGGCGGGAUCGGGGAGCUGGAGGCGGGGGAUGUUUCUGGGGUAUUUUUGGGAUAUUUUGGGAUAUUUCUGGAUAAUUUUUGGAUAAUUUUUGGAUAUUUUGGGGGUCACUCACAGCGUUGGCAGCCGGGCUGGGCGGGAUCGGGGAGCUGGACGUGGUGGAGGUCGGGGUGCUGCUGCUCUGGUUGAAGAUCUCGUCCUCCAUCUGGGAGUGGCUGGGGGGGGACGUGGCCACCAGAGCCUGCGCUGGGGGGGCACGGGGGGGUCACCCUGAGCAUCCCCCCCCCCCAAAAACCCCCCGGAACCCCCCGACUUCCUCCCCAAAAAAAUCCCCU